AAGACAUCGCAUUAAAUAGCAAGAUGGCAGAUGAACAUCAGGAAGGAACAUUAGGAACAUCCACAGUGUUCCAUCCAGGAACCUUUACCGUGGAAACCCUUGUGCUCAUGGGUGUGGUCUCAAGACACAGUCAGCUGUUGGGGAUCAGAGGCCACACUCAUCGUAGCAGAGAGGCAGGACCAACUGGGAGAGGGUCCUUCUGUGACACCUACUGCAUCACCGGGCUGUGUGAAGUGACUCAGCUGCCAGAACUCACACAAUAUCAUUCUACACCAAAACCUCACGGGAAAAAUGCUCCACGACCCUCAGGCUUAAACAGCAGCACUGGCUCUCCCCUGAGCCAUCAGCUCCACAACCCUCAACUUACACAGUGGUAGCACCAGCUCCUCCCUAGGUCUCCAGCUACACGACCGUCAAACUUGAACUGCAACACCAGCUCCUCUUCGG
rnacentral:lncRNA from 1 species